UCAACUUUGUAGCUUGCUUUCUGAACCGCAAGCACCGACGUGGAAAAUUAGUCCGAGUUUCAAGAAAUUAAUUCUCUCCAACUAAUUAUCUGAAUUUCAUCGGAACAUAGAAUGAGAUCGAGCUGAAAGGCAAUCACGGCGCACAAAUUGAUGUCUAAGUCCUUCUACAUCCCUGAAAAAAAUCCCUGAUGUCAAUUUCCUGGUCAAAAGCGAAAUUUUUGAGGUCACGCUGGACUCCCAAUAUGCGUAAUCCACUUGACAGAUUUUGGAGCACUAACGAACUAUAAACAGAUUGUCCGAAAAGUGACAGCUUGCAGCGAGAAAGAUUGGUUCGCCACUGACUCUGAAGCAAAGGACCAGUUUUACUGUAUUAAAAGAUGGGAACACCAAUUCAAUCGAUUCCGGAUACGUGGAAAUUUGAAAAUUUGCAACCUUGUCUUAUCUGUCGUGGAGACAAUCGAAACCAAUUAUCCAGUUUCUACAUUGUUUGUCACCGUCUAAUCUUGCCGUUAGCAGCUCAGACCUCGGCGGAAACAAUCUAAGUUGACCCACAAAGAUAAACAACUCUACAGACAGCCGGAAAAUAUUUUCAACAGUAGAGAAAUUAAGUUAUUCACUAGUAAACGUAAAGAUUGUUUUGUUAUCCAGAGUGUAAAGAAAUUGAAUUUACAACAAUUAAGAUAUGGUACCAAAAUUUAGCACUUUGUUUUGGAAUUGGGCCGAUUUAUUCAAAUUUUGUGAUAAUAACUGAUUUUAUAAUUGUAGUCGCUGAAAAUUGCGGGUUAAUUGAUUUUAAUGACU